rnacentral:rRNA from 1 species
AACGAACGCUGGCGGCAUGCCUAACACAUGCAAGUCGAACGAGACCUUCGGGUCUAGUGGCGCACGGGUGCGUAACGCGUGGGAACCUGCCCUUAGGUUCGGAAUAACUCCCCGAAAGGGGUGCUAAUACCGGAUAAUGUCUUCGGACCAAAGAUUUAUCGCCUUUGGAUGGGCCCGCGUUGGAUUAGCUAGUUGGUAGGGUAAAAGCCUACCAAGGGGACGAUCCAUAGCUGGUCUGAGAGGAUGAUCAGCCACACUGGGACUGAGACACGGCCCAGACUCCUACGGGAGGCAGCAGUGGGGAAUAUUGGACAAGGGGCGAAAGCCUGAUCCAGCAAUGCCGCGUGAGUGAUGAAGGCCUUAGGGUUGUAAAGCUCUUUUACCCGGGAUGAUAAUGACAGUACCGGGAGAAUAAGCUCCGGCUAACUACGUG